ACCAGAACUCAGGACAACUUCUAUCAAUAAAAGAAGCUGCUCAUCUGAAAGACAGCAGCACAUCCAUGUGCCAGGCAUGCUCUUCUUUCAGUCCAUAGUUAAGUUGAGGUGUACAUAUAUGAACCUGUGUACUUGUGUUAUACUCACCAGAACUCCACAGCAUCACAAGCUGGGACAACAUCCUCACACUGUGGAGCAAGAAGACAACUUAAUUAAGAGACAGCAUUUAAUGACAAGGAAAGAAAAUGUUCCUUAUCUUGUAAAUUCCUUCGCUAAUGGAAUCUUCCAGCCCACCCUGGGAAGAAGAGUUGUGGACAUAGACACAUACAGAGAGAAGACCAUGUGAAGUCACAGGGAGAAGACAGCCACCUACAUACCAAGGAGAGAGGCUGUACAAGAAACCAACCCUGAUGACACCUUGAUCUUGGACUUCCAGCUUCCAGAUUUACAG
rnacentral:lncRNA from 1 species